CAAAUUUGCUUCAAAAAUCUUAGGUUUGAAGUUCUGUCAUAGUUUCUUCAAAAUGGGGUAAGGGUAAACAAGGUAUGAACUUAACAGUAUUUACAUUCAAACACUAAGCAAUUUCUGAAGAGUGUGGUAGGAACUAGUUAUUGCAAGAACUAUUAUUUAGUUUAAUUGAUCCCAGCUGGGCUUGGAAGAGGUUCUUGCCAAAAGCAUACAAGUGCUUGCCAAGAGCCUGUCAUAUUUGAUAGCUCACACUGUUAUGAACUUGGCUAAGAGAGGUCAGUCACAUAGCAAAAUCUAAGCUCUCCUCUGCUGUAUCCAGGCUAGCUUAAAAAUGCAGACAUGUUGCCAACUGACUAGCAAGACGUUCUUCUUUCAACCUUGUUUUAAGAGGCCCCUGGUUUCUUGGAAGUGGGGGAGUGCAGCACUGAGAAGCAACGGGAAGAUGUUCUACACAUGGAGCUAUGGGCAGAUGCAGCUGCUCUAGGAUCCUCUGGGCAUCUGUUUUCAUUAAAACUUCACUUGUGCAUUUGACCUAUCAGCUGGAUUCAGCAUAUGUCACUGGUAAAGAGCUUGAACACUGAAAAUCAAAAAUAACAUUUACAUGAAACACUAGCUGCCACUUGCUUCACAUUCAUCUAUCAGAUCUGAUUUUGCAACUUCUAAGUGGCAGAUGAAGGAAAUCCUUAUUGCUUGAAACUGCUCUACCUAUUUAUAUGAACUUGCCACAUGGUUUCCUAAAAUACAAACUGACAAGGCCAUUUGUGUAUGAAAUGCU